rnacentral:antisense_RNA from 2 species
CUUGAUCGAGCCGAGCCACAGCGGCCGUUCGGCGUCGCGCCCCUGGCCGUACGUGGCCAGCAGCGCCUGCGCUUC